GCCAGAGGGUGCAAGCGUUGUUCGGAAUUACUGGGCGUAAAGCGUGUGUAGGCGGCUACCUACGUCGGAUGUGAAAGCCCCGGGCUCAACCCGGGAAGUGCACUCGAUACUGCGUAGCUUGAGUCUCGGAGAGGUUGGUGGAAUUCUCGGUGUAGAGGUGAAAUUCGUAGAUAUCGAGAGGAACACCGGUGGCGAAGGCGGCCAACUGGACGAAGACUGACGCUGAGACACGAAAGCGUGGGGAGCAAACAGG
rnacentral:rRNA from 1 species